rnacentral:rRNA from 1 species
UACGAAGGGGGCUAGCGUUGUUCGGAUUUACUGGGCGUAAAGCGCACGUAGGCGGAUCGUUAAGUCGGGGGUGAAAUCCUGGAGCUCAACUCCAGAACUGCCUUCGAUACUGGCGAUCUUGAGUCCGGAAGAGGUGAGUGGAACUCCUAGUGUAGAGGUGGAAUUCGUAGAUAUUAGGAAGAACACCAGUGGCGAAGGCGGCUUUCUGGUCUGUAACUGACGCUGAGGCGCGAAAGCGUGGGGAUCAAACAGG